UCCGAGUUGACCCCGGCAGUCUCUUAUGAGUCCCCACCAUUACGUGCUGGCAACAUAAGACGAGGGUUGCGCUCGUUGCGGGACUUAACCCAACAUCUCACGACACGAGCUGACGACAACCAUGCACCACCUGUAUACCGACCUUGCGGGGAGACUGUUUCCAGCCUUUUCCGGUAUAUGUCAAGCCUUGGUAAGGUUCUUCGCGUUGCCUCGAAUUAAUCCGCAUGCUCCGCCGCUUGUGCGGGCCCCCGUCAAUUCCUUUGAGUUUUAGCCUUGCGGCCGUACUCCCCAGGCGGGGCGCUUAAUGCGUUAGCUGCGGCACGGAGAACGUGGAAGGUUCCCCACACCUAGCGCCCAACGUUUACGGCGUGGGCUAC
rnacentral:misc_RNA from 1 species